CUACAUUGUUCCCUGGAAAAGCAGCCACAAGAUCCUGGUGGAGCGUUAUUCAAUGGGCUGUGAUUGCAAGAUCACUCGCUGUGACUCUGUCCCGUGUGGGAUCAGCGGCCCGACUGAGUGCUUGUGGACGGAAAAGCUGUUUGGUGAUUCAGGGCAGGACAAACAAUGUGCUUGCAUCAAGAGAAGGGAUGGUUCUUGUGUCUGGUACAAGGAGGCCGCCUCACCCACAAAGGGUUAAUGGAUUAAAGACUCCAAAAUCCCCACCUUG